GGAAAGGUGAAACUCCAAGCCCAAAAGACCCUGGAUUGUUCUAGCAAUGUUCCCUUCACUGCUUUUGCUGCAGGAUACGGGUACCCUUUGAGAAGUGACUGUCCCGCUUGGUUGUCUGCCUGUGAAACUGAGGCUGCCUGUUUGUUUACUGUGAGAUCCACAGAACCAGGCACGAGCCUGCCAUGUAGCAGAUAGUCAGGAAGUAGCUGUUGAAUAAGUGAAGGAAGAGGAAUUGAAGAAAAAUCAUUGUUUUUUGCCCUUAGGAGGUGUCCAACACUUGCUUUGAAUGUAUCAGCACCUUUCCCUGGUACUGAGGCCUCUCUGUUCUAAGCAUUUAGAGCAUUGGUUUUACCAAAUUGAUUUCAGAAUCUUGAUAUCUCAAUCUGAAAAACGUAGUUGGAAUUGCACAUGGAGCUGAAGCAAACCACAGUCUGUAUCCUGUCUCGCUGCCUAAAGCCCCAAAGGGCCUGUAGGUGCAUCUGGAAACCGCCACCUUUGUCCCUCAUGCCCAUCUACCCAGUGCCUGCAUCCCCUCACCCAGCAAGCUUUCUGAGGGUCCUUUCUAGGAACUACCAAACUGCUAGUAAUCCUGAAAACAAUGGUAGAUCUUAGUAUUUUGCAACAAGACAGCUUUGACAUAGUUGUUCAUUUCCGGCUCACACGUGGAUCUCGGGACUUUACAGUUUUAAGACAGUUAAGCCGGGCUGGGUGCCUCCCAAGGUGAUUCUGGAAGUUGCUUCCCGACAGACAGACCUCCCACCGGAUUUUCCUCUUUCAGAACUGACUUGAGAGCGUCUCGCGUACUCACAGCGCCGUGAAGCCAAACCCCAUCUGACGGGACUUACUGUCAAUUGCUAGAAAAACAAGCCUGCAGAGGAGGGGGUGGCCCCAAGGCAGAGUCCGCAGCCUUCGCAGGCGGCGCGGACCAGGGCGCCCCUGCCCCGUCGUGCAAGCGGGGGGAGGAAGGCAGGGAGCAGGGCGGAGAAGCGCGGCCUGGCCUUGGCGGGGUCCCGCCCGCAGCGCCCACUCACCUCCGCAGCGCCCCGCGUCCCCGCUGCUGCGAGGUCCCCGCCGCGGCCCAGGUCCUCUCCUCCCGGGCGGCCGCCCCGACCACUGACCGGGCAGUCACUGGCCCGGGCAGGCACGUGACGGGAGAAGAGUUUGUGUUUGCGUGGACGGGAGAGGGGCGGCUCCCCAAGCCCAGAGGAAGUGCGCGCAGGAGCCACAUUCCGGGCUUUUUCCUCCCCUUUUAAAAGCCUCCUUCAGGGGCGCCUGGGUGGCUCCAUCCACAAGGGGUCCGGUCAGGUCACGAUCUUAGGGUCCUGGAGGCUCAGGGCUCAGUGGGGAGGCGGCUUGUGCAUUUGUGGAUUCCCUCUUCCCCCUCUGCCUCUGCUCCCCAGCCCCCAGCCCCAUUCUUGUGCUCUCUCUCCCCGCUCUCCAAUAAAUCAAUAAAUCAAUAAAUCUUGAAAAUAAAA
rnacentral:lncRNA from 1 species